GAAGCCCUUACCCCAAAAAGUAU
rnacentral:miRNA from 12 species